UACAGAGGUCCCAAGCGUUGUUCGGAUUCACUGGGCGUAAAGGGUGCGUAGGCGGUCGGGUAAGUCUGACGUGAAAUCUCCGGGCCUAACCCGGAAACUGCAUCGGAUACUAUCCGGCUAGAGGAUUGGAAGGGAGACUGGAAUACUUGGUGUAGCAGUGAAAUGCGUAGAUAUCAAGUGGAACACCAGUGGCGAAGGCGAGUCUCUGGACAAUUCCUGACGCUGAGGCACGAAAGCCAGGGGAGCAAACGGG
rnacentral:rRNA from 1 species